rnacentral:misc_RNA from 1 species
UACGGAGGGUGCAAGCGUUAUCCGGAUUCACUGGGUUUAAAGGGUGUGUAGGCGGACUUUUAAGUCAGUGGUGAAAUCUCCAGGCUCAACCUGGAAACUGCCAUUGAUACUAUUAGUCUUGAAUUCUGUUGAGGUGGGCGGAAUACAUCAUGUAGCGGUGAAAUGCUUAGAUAUGAUGUAGAACACCGAUUGCGAAGGCAGCUCACUAAACAGACAUUGACGCUGAGGCACGAAAGCGUGGGGAUCAAACAGG